rnacentral:lncRNA from 1 species
CUCGUCAACAAACAUACAAUAUACGUGCUAGAGCAAGUGGCAAAAAAAUUUGAUGAUUGGUACUCGAAAUUCAAAUUCGAAUUUUAGUUGAUUUAUAUUUCCAGCUAAACUUAUUUCUAAAUGAAAUAAACGAAGUGGGUAGCGCCCGUGCUACCUAUCUCUCUUUCUCAAAAAAAAAAACAAACUUAUCUACAUAAUAUAUUUGGUUAGAGAAAAAGAAAAGAAAAAACCUGGUCCUCAUUUUUGUUGUAUGUCCCAUCUAUGUACCUACUAUUAGCACUAGCAAUUAGCUCCCAAUUCCGACCGUCCCUAACGCAAGCUAGUGGCAAAGGAUUUGAUAAUUGUUAUCCGAUAUCCCAAGUUCGAAUGCUAGUCGAUUCACAUUUUUAAUAAAAUUUAUUUUUUUAAAAAAAUAAACUAGACCGGUAGCACAUAUUCUACCUAUCUCUCUCUCUCUCUAAAAAAAAAAAAAACAAUUA